AGAGUUUGAUCAUGGCUCAGAUUGAACGCUGGCGGCAGGCCUAACACAUGCAAGUCGAGCGGUAGAGAGAAGCUUGCUUCUCUUGAGAGCGGCGGACGGGUGAGUAAUGCCUAGGAAUCUGCCUGGUAGUGGGGGAUAACGUUCGGAAACGGACGCUAAUACCGCAUACGUCCUACGGGAGAAAGCAGGGGACCUUCGGGCCUUGCGCUAUCAGAUGAGCCUAGGUCGGAUUAGCUAGUUGGUGGGGUAAUGGCUCACCAAGGCGACGAUCCGUAACUGGUUUGAGAGGAUGAUCAGUCACACUGGAACUGAGACACGGUCCAGACUCCUACGGGAGGCAGCAGUGGGGAAUAUUGGACAAUGGGCGAAAGCCUGAUCCAGCCAUGCCGCGUGUGUGAAGAAGGUCUUCGGAUUGUAAAGCACUUUAAGUUGGGAGGAAGGGCAAUUACCUAAUACGUGAUUGUUUUGACGUUACCGACAGAAUAAGCACCGGCUAACUCUGUGCCAGCAGCCGCGGUAAUACAGAGGGUGCAAGCGUUAAUCGGAAUUGCUGGGCGUAAAGCGCGCGUAGGUGGUUUGUUAAGUUGGAUGUGAAAUCCCCGGGCUCAACCUGGGAACUGCAUUCAAAACUGACUGACUAGAGUAUGGUAGAGGGUGGUGGAAUUUCCUGUAGCGGUGAAAUGCGUAGAUAUAGGAAGGAACACCAGUGGCGAAGGCGACCACCUGGACAGAUACUGACACUGAGGUGCGAAAGCGUGGGGAGCAAACAGGAUUAGAUACCCUAGUAGUCC
rnacentral:rRNA from 1 species